GACGAACGCUGGCGGCGUGCUUAACACAUGCAAGUCGAACGGAAAGGCCCUGCUUUUGUGGGGUGCUCGAGUGGCGAACGGGUGAGUAACACGUGAGUACCCUUCCCUUGACUUUGGGAUAACUUCAGGAAACUGGGGCUAAUCCCGGAUAGGAGCUCCUGCUGCAUUGUGGGGGUUGGAUAGUUUCGGCGGUUGGGGAUGGACUCGCGGCUUAUCAGCUUGUUGGUGGGGUAGUGGCUUACCAAGGCUUUGACGGGUAGACGGCCUGAGAGGGUGACCGGUGACAUUGGGACUGAGAUACGGCCCAGACUCCUACGGGAGGCAGCAGGGGGGAAUAUUGCACAAUGGGCGGAAGCCUGAGGCGGCAGCGCCGCGUGCGGGAUGACGGCCUGCGGGGUGUAAACCGCUUUCGCCUGUGACGAAGCGUGAGUGACGGUAAUGGGUAAAGAAGCACCGGCUAACUACGUG
rnacentral:rRNA from 1 species